CCAGCCCUGGAUGCCCAGGUCCUCCCACUUGGUGAUCAGGACUGAACACAGGCAGUGCAACAUGGACCUUACCAUGUGUUGGGUUUUCCUGUUCGUAAUUUUGAAAGGUGUCCAAGCAGAGGUGCAGCUGGUGGAGUCCGGGGGAGGCUUGGUGGCACCUGGGGGGUCCCUGAAACUCUCCUGUUUGGCUUCGGGAUUCACCUUCAGUAACUACUGGAUGGGUUGGGUCCGCCAGGCUCCAGGGAAGGGGCUGGAGUGGAUCUCAUCCAUCAAUUCUAACGGUGGUAGCACAUACUACGCGGACUCUGUAAAUGUCCGAUUCACUGUCUCUAGAGACAAAGGUAAGAACAUGCUGUUUGAGAAAAUGACCAGCCUGAGAAACAAGGACACGUCCGUGUAUUACUGUGCAAGAGACAGAGUUAGGGGACCUCAGUGCGAGCCCCGAUAUGAACAUCCCCGCAGGGGUGCACACACCAGGCAGGGGAAGCUCAAGACAUACAGUACACUGAGAAAGAACACUCUGCAAGUGUACCAAGUCCAAGCACUGUGGCCAUGGAAGCCUUCAUCUGACCUCAAAGCAGACCUGGACAUCUGCAGGCUCAGGCAGCAACCUCUGCAGAAGGCAGAAGCUGCAGAGAACCUUCAAAAACGCAAUGGCAGCACAAGUGUGGGGUGA